GGGCCGUUAGCUCAGCUGGCAGAGCGCCUGCUUUGCAAGCAGGAGGUCGUCGGUUCGAUCCCGACACGGUCCA
rnacentral:tRNA from 1 species